rnacentral:rRNA from 1 species
UACGUAGGGGGCGAGCGUUGUCCGGAUUUAUUGGGCGUAAAGAGCUCGUAGGCGGCUUGGCAAGUCGGGUGUGAAACCUCCAGGCUCAACCUGGAGACGCCACUCGAUACUGCCAUGGCUAGAGUCCGGUAGGGGACCACGGAAUUCCUGGUGUAGCGGUGAAAGUGCGCAGAUAUCAGGAGGAACACCGGUGGCGAAGGCGGUGGUCUGGGCCGGCACUGACGCUGAUGCGCGAAAGCGUGGGGGAGCGAACAGG